UACAGAGGUCUCAAGCGUUGUUCGGAUUCAUUGGGCGUAAAGGGUGCGUAGGCGGCGCGGUAAGUCGGGUGUGAAAUCUCCACGCUUAACGUGGAGGGGCCAUUCGAAACUGCCGUGACUCGAGUCCGGUAGGGGAGUGUGGAAUUCCCGGUGUAGCGGUGAAAUGCGCAGAUAUCGGGAGGAACACCAGUAGCGAAGGCGGCACUCUGGGCCGGUACUGACGCUGAGGAGCGAAAGCGUGGGGAGCAAACAGG
rnacentral:rRNA from 1 species